rnacentral:rRNA from 1 species
CCGGUAAACGGCGGCCGUAACUAUAACGGUCCUAAGGUAGCGAAAUUCCUUGUCGGGUAAGUUCCGACCUGCACGAAUGGCGUAAUGAUGGCCAGGCUGUCUCCACCCGAGACUCAGUGAAAUUGAACUCGCUGUGAAGAUGCAGUGUACCCGCGGCAAGACGGAAAGACCCCGUGAACCUUUACUAUAGCUUGACACUGAACAUUGAGCCUUGAUGUGUAGGAUAGGUGGGAGGCUUUGAAGUGUGG